UGCCAUCCACAGCAUUUUUGGAGAGUACUGGGGACAAGUUCCUGGUGCAAGUGCAGGAGAGGCCAAGUAGGGGCUGUGCUCUCCUUGACCUGCUGCUCACAAACAGGGAAGAAUUAGUGGGGAAUGUAGUAGUGGAUGGGAACUUGGGCAGCAA